rnacentral:rRNA from 1 species
UGGGGAAUAUUGCACAAUGGGCGCAAGCCUGAUGCAGCGACGCCGCGUGGGGGAUGACGGCCUUCGGGUUGUAAACUCCUUUCGCUAGGGACGAAGCUUUUUGUGACGGUACCUAGAUAAGAAGCACCGGCUAACUACGUGCCAGCAGCCGCGGUAAUACGUAGGGUGCGAGCGUUGUCCGGAAUUACUGGGCGUAAAGGGCUCGUAGGUGGUUUGUCGCGUCGUCUGUGAAAUUCCGGGGCUUAACUCCGGGCGUGCAGGCGAUACGGGCAUAACUUGAGUACUGUAGGGGUAACUGGAAUUCCUAGUGUAGCGGUGAAAUGCGCAGAUAUCAGGAGGAACACCGAUGGCGAAGGCAGGUUACUGGGCAGUUACUGACGCUGAGGAGCGAAAGCAUGGGUAGCGAACAGG